UCGUUCAAUGGGAUCUCGUACAGAUUCAUUUGAAACACACACUUUUUUUCCUCCUGCUACGGUAAACGGUGAAUUUUGAUUUUUUUUCAGUAUUUGAAUUGAAAAUUUUGUGAUUUGUGUGUGCGCGUGUGUGUAUUUUAAAAAAUAAAAUCGAAAAAUAGUCUAGUUGGCCAUUCAAACGAGUCUCCAUAAAAAAAGAAAUAUAUAGAGAAAAAAUUCUCUACAAUUAAGGCCUUUUUGGCGCCAAGCGUUGUCUGGAAUUUUUGGUUGCGUUGCAAUGUGUGUGUGAUUUUUUUUUGAUUUUUUGAAAUUUUCAAAAAUAUGUGCUAAAUUCUGUAAACAUCAAAUAUUUAAAGUGUUUCAGUGGUUUUUGUUUGAAUUACAAUUACAAAAUUGAAAUUUUGGCUGAAUGUUGUAAUUUAUGGUUUCUUCGUUCGGUUCGAAAUAAAGACAUCAUUCAUCACUCUGCGGCCUGCCAAAUGUAAAGUAAUUAAAAGAAUUCUUGUGUUUUGGCCAAAAAAACAAAGACGACCAGCAGCAGUGGCAGUGCGGUGUGGUGUGGUGGUGGUGGCAAAGGCAACAACAAAGAAUUUGGUUUUUUUUACGCUAUCAAAUCAGUUGGAAAGUCAAAACAACAACGUCGAACAAUUCUGCCAACAGAGAAACAAAAGAAAAAUCACUCAAACAAAAUAGAAACGCCGUACAAAGAACAACACAAAGAUCGGGACGCGCGCUUUCAAAAUAAAA